rnacentral:rRNA from 1 species
GGUUAAGCGACUAAGCGUACACGGUGGAUGCCCCGGCAGUCAGAGGCGAUGAAGGACGUGCUAAUCUGCGAUAAGCGUCGGUAAGGUGAUAUGAACCGUUAUAACCGGCGAUUUCCGAAUGGGGAAACCCAGUGUGUUUCGACACACUAUCAUUAACUGAAUCCAUAGGUUAAUGAGGCGAACCGGGGAACUGAAACAUCUAAGUACCCCGAGGAAAAGAAAUCAACCGAGAUUCCCCAGUAGCGGCGAGCGAACGGGGAGCAGCCCAGAGCCUGAAUCAGUGUGUGUGUUAGUGGAAGCGUCUGGAAAGGCGCGCGAUACAGGGUGACAGCCCCGUACACAAAAAUGCACAUGCUGUGAGCUCGAUGAGUAGGGCGGGACACGUGGUAUCCUGUCUGAAUAUGGGGGACCAUCCUCCAAGGCUAAAUACUCCUGACUGACCGAUAGUGAACCAGUACCGUGAGGGAAAGGCGAAAAGAACCCCGGCGAGGGGAGUGAAAAAGAACCUGAAACCGUGUACGUACAAGCAGUGGGAGCACGCUUAGGCGUGUGACUGCGUACCUUUGUAUAAUGGGUCAGCGACUUAUAUUCUGUAGCAAGGUUAACCGAAUAGGGGAGCCGAAGGGAAACCGAGUCUUAACUGGGCGUUAAGUUGCAGGGUAUAGACCCGAAACCCGGUGAUUCUAGCCAUGGGCAGGUUGAAGGUUGGGUAACACUAACUGGAGGACCGAACCGACUAAUGUUGAAAAAUUAGCGGAUGACUUGUGGCUGGGGGUGAAAGGCCAAUCAAACCGGGAGAUAGCUGGUUCUCCCCGAAAGCUAUUUAGGUAGCGCCUCGUGAAUUCAUCUCCGAGGGUAGAGCACUGUUUCGGCAAGGGGGUCAUCCCGACUUACCAACCCGAUGCAAACUGCGAAUACCGGAGAAUGUUAUCACGGGAGACACACGGCGGGUGCUAACGUCCGUCGUGAAGAGGGAAACAACCCAGACCGCCAGCUAAGGUCCCAAAGUCAUGGUUAAGUGGGAAACGAUGUGGGAAGGCCCAGACAGCCGGGAUGUUGGCUUAGAAGCAGCCAUCAUUUAAAGAAAGCGUAAUAGCUCACUGGUCGAGUCGGCCUGCGCGGAAGAUGUAACGGGGCUAAACCAUGCACCGAAGCUGCGGCAGCGACACUAUGUGUUGUUGGGUAGGGGAGCGUUCUGUAAGCCUGUGAAGGUGUGCUGUGAGGCAUGCUGGAGGUAUCAGAAGUGCGAAUGCUGACAUAAGUAACGAUAAAGCGGGUGAAAAGCCCGCUCGCCGGAAGACCAAGGGUUCCUGUCCAACGUUAAUCGGGGCAGGGUGAGUCGACCCCUAAGGCGAGGCCGAAAGGCGUAGUCGAUGGGAAACAGGUUAAUAUUCCUGUACUUGGUGUUACUGCGAAGGGGGACGGAGAAGGCUAUGUUGGCCGGGCGACGGUUGUCCCGGUUUAAGCGUGUAGGCUGGUUUUCCGAGCAAAUCCGGAAAAUCAAGGCUGAGGCGUGAUGACGAGGCACUACGGUGCUGAAGCAACAAAUGCCCUGCUUCCGGGAAAAGCCUCUAAGCAUCAGGUAACAUCAAAUCGUACCCCAAACCGACACAGGUGGUCAGGUAGAGAAUACCAAGGCGCUUGAGAGAACUCGGGUGAAGGAACUAGGCAAAAUGGUGCCGUAACUUCGGGAGAAGGCACGCUGAUAUGUAGGUGAGGUCCCUCGCGGAUGGAGCUGAAAUCAGUCGAAGAUACCAGCUGGCUGCAACUGUUUAUUAAAAACACAGCACUGUGCAAACACGAAAGUGGACGUAUACGGUGUGACGCCUGCCCGGUGCCGGAAGGUUAAUUGAUGGGGUUAGCGCAAGCGAAGCUCUUGAUCGAAGCCCCGUAAACGGCACUGUAACUAUAACGGUCCUAAGGUAGCGAAAUUCCUUGUCGGGUAAGUUCCGACCUGCACGAAUGGCGUAAUGAUGGCCGGGCUGUCUCCACCCGAGACUCAGUGAAAUUGAACUCGCUGUGAAGAUGCAGUGUACCCGCGGCAAGACGGAAAGACCCCGUGAACCUUUACUAUAGCUUGACACUGAACAUUGAGCCUUGAUGUGUAGGAUAGGUGGGAGGCUUUGAAGUGUGGACGCCAGUCUGCAUGGAGCCGACCUUGAAAUACCACCCUUUAAUGUUUGAUGUUCUAACGUUGACCCGUAAUCCGGGUUGCGGACAGUGUCUGGUGGGUAGUUUGACUGGGGCGGUCUCCUCCUAAAGAGUAACGGAGGAGCACGAAGGUUGGCUAAUCCUGGUCGGACAUCAGGAGGUUAGUGCAAUGGCAUAAGCCAGCUUGACUGCGAGCGUGACGGCGCGAGCAGGUGCGAAAGCAGGUCAUAGUGAUCCGGUGGUUCUGAAUGGAAGGGCCAUCGCUCAACGGAUAAAAGGUACUCCGGGGAUAACAGGCUGAUACCGCCCAAGAGUUCAUAUCGACGGCGGUGUUUGGCACCUCGAUGUCGGCUCAUCACAUCCUCGGGCUGAAGUAGGUCCCAAGGGUAUGGCUGUUCGCCAUUUAAAGUGGUACGCGAGCUGGGUUUAGAACGUCGUGAGACAGUUCGGUCCCUAUCUGCCGUGGGCGCUGGAGAACUGAGGGGGCUGCUCCUAGUACGAGAGGACCGGAGUGGACGCAUCACUGGUGUUCGGGUUGUCAUGCCAAUGGCACUGCCCGGUAGCUAAAUGCGGAAGAGAUAAGUGCUGAAAGCAUCUAAGCACGAAACUUGCCCCGAGAUGAGUUCUCCCUGACUCCUUGAGAGUCCUGAAGGAACGUUGAAGACGACGACGUUGAUAGGCGGGUGUGUAAGCGCAGCGAUGCGUUGAGCUAACCGGUACUAAUGAACCGUGAGGCUUAACCUU